rnacentral:rRNA from 1 species
CAGUCGCCGCGGGAAUACGUAGGGUGCAAGCGUUAAUCGGAAUUACUGGGCGUAAAGCGUGCGCAGGCGGUUAUAUAAGACAGAUGUGAAAUCCCCGGGCUCAACCUGGGAACUGCAUUUUUGACUGUAUAGCUAGAGUACGGCAGAGGGGGAUGGAAUUCCGCGUGUAGCAGUGAAAUGCGUAGAUAUGCGGAGGAACACCGAUGGCGAAGGCAAUCCCCUGGGCCUGUACUGACGCUCAUGCACGAAAGCGUGGGGAGCAAACAGGAUUAGAUACCCCCGUAGUCCCUGUCUCUUAUCC